rnacentral:lncRNA from 1 species
ACCACACUUUAUGUUAUUUCCAUGCUACAUACCUACACUUGAUCCAUGUUGUUGGUUAUACUGAUAUACGUGAUCUAUGCCGGUUCUAGUUACGAAUGAGUAACAAAGAGCAUUUAGUUCCUAUGUUGGUAUGAUUGAUGGACCGGAUUGUUCAUGACAAUUUUAUUGUAAUAGCAAUUUCGCGCACCUAAGGUUAUUUUGUAACAUAUAAUGCUAAGAUUUGUACAUAUGUUUGUGUAUCUCGUCCAAGUGGGAGAUUGUAAGAUAUAUGGACUUAUAUCU